AAUUAUGGUGGGGCGUGAUGGGGAGGCUUCGGCCUGCUGGUUUCGUAAGUGCCAGUCUGCUAACCCCGUCACGUCCUGCCACCUGU
rnacentral:antisense_RNA from 2 species